UAGAGGAAGUAAAAGUCGUAACAAGGUUUCCGUAGGUGAACCUGCGGAAGGAUCAUUAAUGAAUUUUGAAAGGGGUUGUAGCUGGCCUUUUAGGAGGCAUGUGCACACCCUGCUCUUCCAUUCUUACACCUGUGCACACUCUGUAGGUCGGUUUGAGCGGUUCUCUCUAACGGGGGAUGCUGUUUGGCCUUCCUAUGUUUUAUAACAAACUCUGUAAUGUCAUAGAAUGUCAUCGCGUAUAACGCAUUAUAAUAUAACUUUCAGCAACGGAUCUCUUGGCUCUCGCAUCGAUGAAGAACGCAGCGAAAUGCGAUAAGUAAUGUGAAUUGCAGAAUUCAGUGAAUCAUCGAAUCUUUGAACGCACCUUGCGCUCCUUGGUAUUCCGAGGAGCAUGCCUGUUUGAGUGUCAUGGAAUUCUCAACCCUCUUAUCCUUGUGGUGAGAUUGGGUUGGAUUUGGAGGUUUAUGCUGGCUUGUAAUGAGUCGGCUCCUCUUGAAUGCAUUAGCUUGGAUCUUUGCGGACCAGCUUUUCGGUGUGAUAAUUGUCUACGCCGUGGGCUGUGAUGCUGUUUAACAUGCUUCGGUGUGUUGGGGUUCUGCUUCUAAUGGUCCCCUUUGGUGGGACAACUUACUUUGACCUCUGACCUCAAAUCAGGUAGGAUUACCCGCUGAACUUAAGCAUAUCAAUAAGCGG
rnacentral:rRNA from 1 species